AGAGCGAACGCUGGCGGCAUGCUUAACACAUGCAAGUCUCACGGGCAGGCAAUGUCAGUGGCGGACGGGUGAGUAACGCGUAGGUAUCUAUCCAUGGGUGGGGGAUAACGUCGGGAAACUGACGCUAAUACCGCAUGACAUCUGAGGAUCAAAGGCGCGAGUCGCCUGUGGAGGAGCCUGCGUACGAUUAGCUAGUUGGUGGGGUAAAGGCCUACAAGGCGACGAUCGUUAGCUGGUCUGAGAGGAUGAUCAGCCACACUGGGACUGAGACACGGCCCAGACUCCUACGGAGGCAGCAGUGGGGAAUAUUGGACAAUGGGCGAAAGCCUGAUCCAGCAAUGCCGCGUGUGUGAAGAAGGUCUUCGGAUUGUAAAGCACUUUCGGCGGGGACGAUGAUGACGGUACCCGCAGAAGAAGCCCCGGCUAACUUCGUGCCGAGCAGCCGC
rnacentral:rRNA from 1 species